rnacentral:rRNA from 1 species
AUGAGUUAAGUAUAAACCCCUUUACAAGUAUCAAUUGGAGGGCAAGUCUGGUGCCAGCAGCCGCGGUAAUUCCAGCUCCAAUAGCGUAUAUUAAAGUUGUUGCAGUUAAAAAGCUCGUAGUUGGAUUUCUGUUAAUAAUUUAUAUAAUAUUUUAACGAUAUUAUAUAAUAUUAACAUAAUUCAUAUUACUAUAUAUUUAGUAUAUGAAAUUUUACUUUGAGAAAAUUAGAGUGCUUAAAGCAGGCAUUUGCCUUGAAUACUCCAGCAUGGAAUAAUAUAAAAGAUUUUUAUCUUUUUUAUUGGUUCUAAGAUAAAAAUAAUGAUUAAUAGGGACAGUUGGGGGCAUUUGUAUUUAACAGUCAGAGGUGAAAUUCUUAGAUUUGUUAAAGACAAACUAAUGCGAAAGCAUUUGCCAAGGAUGUUUUCAUUAAUCAAGAACGAAAGUUAGGGGAUCGAAGACGAUCAGAUACCGUCGUAGU